rnacentral:rRNA from 1 species
UACGUAGGGGGCAAGCGUUGUCCGGAUUUAUUGGGCGUAAAGAGCGUGUAGGCGGCCAUACAGGUCAGCUGUGAAAACUCGAGGCUCAACCUCGAGACGGUCGGGUUGAAACCGUAUGGCUAGAGUCCGGAAGAGGAGAGUGGAAUUCCCGGUGUAGCGGUGAAAUGCGCAGAUAUCGGGAAGAACACCCGGUGGCGAAGGCGGCUCUCUGGGACGGUACUGACGCUGAGACGCGAAAGCGUGGGGAGCGAACGAGGAUUAGAAACCCC